rnacentral:rRNA from 1 species
GGGUUGUAGGACACUCUAUACGGAGUUACAAAGGACGACAUUAGACGAAUCAUCUGGAAAGAUGAAUCAAAGAAGGUAAUAAUCCUGUAGUCGAAAAUGUUGUCUCUCUUGAGUGGAUCCUGAGUACGACGGAGCACGUGAAAUUCCGUCGGAAUCUGGGAGGACCAUCUCCUAAGGCUAAAUACUCUCUAGUGACCGAUAGUGAACCAGUACCGUGAGGGAAAGGUGAAAAGCACCCCGGAAGGGGAGUGAAAUAGAACCUGAAACCGUGUGCUUACAAGUAGUCAGAGCCCGUUAAUGGGUGAUGGCGUGCCUUUUGUAGAAUGAACCGGCGAGUUACGAUUUGAUGCAAGGUUAAGCAGUAAAUGUGGAGCCGUAGCGAAAGCGAGUCUGAAUAGGGCGUUUAGUAUUUGGUCGUAGACCCGAAACCAGGUGAUCUACCCUUGGUCAGGUUGAAGUUCAGGUAACACUGAAUGGAGGACCGAACCGACUUACGUUGAAAAGUGAGCGGAUGAACUGAGGGUAGCGGAGAAAUUCCAAUCGAACCUGGAGAUAGCUGGUUCUCUCCGAAAUAGCUUUAGGGCUAGCCUCAAGUGAUGAUUAUUGGAGGUAGAGCACUGUUUGGACGAGGGGCCCCUCUCGGGUUACCGAAUUCAGACAAACUCCGAAUGCCAAUUAAUUUAACUUGGGAGUCAGAACAUGGGUGAUAAGGUCCGUGUUCGAAAGGGAAACAGCCCAGACCACCAGCUAAGGUCCCAAAAUAUAUGUUAAGUGGAAAAGGAUGUGGCGUUGCCCAGACAACUAGGAUGUUGGCUUAGAAGCAGCCAUCAUUUAAAGAGUGCGUAAUAGCUCACUAGUCGAGUGACACUGCGCCGAAAAUGUACCGGGGCUAAACAUAUUACCGAAGCUGUGGAUUGUCCUUUGGACAAUGGUAGGAGAGCGUUCUAAGGGCGUUGAAGCAUGAUCGUAAGGACAUGUGGAGCGCUUAGAAGUGAGAAUGCCGGUGUGAGUAGCGAAAGACGGGUGAGAAUCCCGUCCACCGAUUGACUAAGGUUUCCAGAGGAAGGCUCGUCCGCUCUGGGUUAGUCGGGUCCUAAGCUGAGGCCGACAGGCGUAGGCGAUGGAUAACAGGUUGAUAUUCCUGUACCACCUAUAAUCGUUUUAAUCGAUGGGGGGACGCAGUAGGAUAGGCGAAGCGUGCGAUUGGAUUGCACGUCUAAGCAGUAAGGCUGAGUAUUAGGCAAAUCCGGUACUCAUUAAGGCUGAGCUGUGAUGGGGAGAAGACAUUGUGUCUUCGAGUCGUUGAUUUCACACUGCCGAGAAAAGCCUCUAGAUAGAAAAUAGGUGCCCGUACCGCAAACCGACACAGGUAGUCAAGAUGAGAAUUCUAAGGUGAGCGAGCGAACUCUCGUUAAGGAACUCGGCAAAAUGACCCCGUAACUUCGGGAGAAGGGGUGCUCUUUAGGGUUAACGCCCAGAAGAGCCGCAGUGAAUAGGCCCAAGCGACUGUUUAUCAAAAACACAGGUCUCUGCUAAACCGUAAGGUGAUGUAUAGGGGCUGACGCCUGCCCGGUGCUGGAAGGUUAAGAGGAGUGGUUAGCUUCUGCGAAGCUACGAAUCGAAGCCCCAGUAAACGGCGGCCGUAACUAUAACGGUCCUAAGGUAGCGAAAUUCCUUGUCGGGUAAGUUCCGACCCGCACGAAAGGCGUAACGAUUUGGGCACUGUCUCAACGAGAGACUCGGUGAAAUCAUAGUACCUGUGAAGAUGCAGGUUACCCGCGACAGGACGGAAAGACCCCGUGGAGCUUUACUGUAGCCUGAUAUUGAAAUUCGGCACAGCUUGUACAGGAUAGGUAGGAGCCUUUGAAACGUGAGCGCUAGCUUACGUGGAGGCGCUGGUGGG